AGCAGCCGCGGUAAUUCCAGCUCCAAUAGCGUAUAUUAAAGUUGUUGCAGUUAAAAAGCUCGUAGUUGAAUUUCGGGAUUGGCGCAUCGGUCGUGCCUCACGGGGUAUGAACUGGUGCAGUCAAUUUCUCACCUUCUGGAGAACCGCGAUGUCCUUAAUUGGAUGCCGCGGGGAACCAGGACCUUUACUUUGAAAAAAUUAGAGUGUUUAAAGCAGGCAUUUUUGCUUGAAUACAUUAGCAUGGAAUAAUAAAAUAGGACGGCAUGGUUCUAUUUUGUUGGUUUCUAGGACCACCGUAAUGAUUAAUAGGGAUAGUUGGGGGCAUUAGUAUUCAAUUGUCAGAGGUGAAAUUCUUGGAUUUAUUGAAGACUAACUACUGCGAAAGCAUUUGCCAAGGACGUUUUUCAUUAAUCAAGAACGAAAGUUAGGGGAUCGAAGACGAUCAGAUACCGUCGUAGUCUUAACCAUAAACUAUGCCGAUUAGGAAUCAGACGAUGUUAAUUUUUUAAUGACUCGUUUGGCACCUUAC
rnacentral:rRNA from 1 species